UCCCUGAACCUCCUGUCCUUGACAGCCUGC
rnacentral:piRNA from 1 species